CCUACGUGAUGCAGCAGUGAGGAAUAUUGGUCAAUGGGCGCGAGCCUGAACCAGCCCAGUAGCGUGAAGGAUGACUGCCCUACGGGUUGUAAACUUCUUUUAUAAAGGAAUAAAGUGAGGCACGUGUGCCUUUUUGUAUGUACUUUAUGAAUAAGGAUCGGCUAACUCCGUGCCAGCAGCCGCGGUAAUACGGAGGAUCCGAGCGUUAUCCGGAUUUAUUGGGUUUAAAGGGAGCGUAGAUGGGUUGUUAAGUCAGUUGUGAAAGUUUGCGGCUCAACCGUAAAAUUGCAAUUUAUACUGGCAGUCUUGAGUACAGUUGAGGUAGGCGGAAUUCGUGGUGUAGCGGUGAAAUGCUUAGAUAUCACGAAGAACCCCGAUUGCGAAGGCAGCUUACUAAACUGUGACUGACAUUGAUGCUCGAAAGUGUGGGUAUCAAACAGGAUUAGAUACCCUAGUAGUC
rnacentral:rRNA from 1 species